AGAGAAUUCCCUGGCAGUUCAGUGGUUAGGACUCUGAGCAUUCACUGCAGAGGUCAGGGGUUCGAUCCCUGGUCAAGGAACUAAGAUCCCACAUGUAGUGUGGUAUGCCCCUCCCCCCGCAAAGAUAGAUAAACAGGUAGAUAAGUAGACAGACAGUUGGAAGAUAGACGAUAGAUAGAUGAUAAAGACAAAGACAGGUAGAUGGUAUAUAGAUGAUAGAUGAUUGUUUGGUACGAAGAGAGCACUCGACUGUUGAAGCAAAUGGGCAAAAGAUUGACAACAGGUGAAUCUGGGUAAAGGGUAUACGGAUGUUCUUUAUAUGCAAUUUAUAUGCUAAAAUAAGAAGUUUAAACAAAUAAAAAGUAAAAUUAAAAUGCUCAGUAUCUCUAAGGUGGUAAUAUGAAUUGUUUUCUGUCCCAACUUAUCUCUGCUUUUCAAAUUUCUACAGUGAGUGUUGUUCAUAAUAGCUACGGAUGUUAUUAAGAAAGAAGUCUCGAAGCCAUCAUUUCUCCAAGGGUAGAUCUCACCCCAGGCACAGUCUAAUAAGGCCCCUACCAUGGGAGCCACUGUUUCAGUCUACAAAGAACCCAGCAGGGCGAGCAGGGGCUGACCCUCCGCAGAGUGCUGCCCUUGGGCCAGGUGGCGCCUCCCAAGGGCUAGAAAAAGACAGAACACGUGUGGGCUGUAGGAGCCAGAAGUUGAAGAACGGAAGCCACGCUCACCUAGAAAGAGUGCGCUGCUUUUUUCUACCUCCUCGGAUCUUUCUGAUCAAGAUGAGUUUUGCUAAUGCCUUUAAUACCUUAAAGCCUAAGGACAGUGUCUUUCCAGCCUGUGCCUCUGGCUACAGCAACUGACGGGUAAUGAGAGCCCAACCUUGCUGGACUCUGGUCCCUUCAAAACCAGAGAUCAACAGAGUCCAGUUUUUCCAGAAUCCAGGACAAGAGCUGGGCCUGCUUAGCCCCAAAUGUCACAUUUCAUGAUUUUAAAUUCUUGAAACUCCAUAUCUUGUUUUCUGUUGCUUUAAUCUGUUUGGGCUGCUAUAACAAAGUCCCAUAGACUGGAUGGUUUAAACAUACAUUUAUUUCUCACAAUUCUGGAGGCUGAUAUCAGGGUGCCAGCAUGGCUGGGUUCUGGUGAGACCCUCUACUAGAUGGCAGACGGCUGACUCCUUGUAUCCUCCCGUGGCAGAGGGCAGAGAGGAAGCAAGCUCUGCAGGGACUCUUAUAAGGGCAUUAACCCUCAUGGCCUCAGCUAAUAUUAAUUACCUCCCAAAGGCUCCACCUAAUACCAUCUCAUGGCCAGCAGGGUAGGGUGGGGGCGAGUGGGGUAGUGUUCAAUUUUAGGAAAGCACAGUCAGUUCAUAGCAUCCUCCAGGACUUCCCAGGACCCUGACACCUGGACAGACUUGAACCCCACCCUUUCUCCACUGGCAGUGCUGGGGAGAAGAGUGACCAGUGGCAAAAAUGUCAGCUGCUUUCAAAACGUGGGACGGUUUCUACUUCACGUCGGCAAGUCUUCGCUCAUUGUUGACCGGAGACUCAUUAACGUCACGGGUGUUAGUUUCUGCAAAAAAUCCCCCUUAAAUAAAUGAAGUGUUAUUUCACUUUAAUAAAAUGUGAAAGUUUUACUUUAAUAAAGUGUUAAUUCACAACAA